UGGGGAAUAUUGCACAAUGGGCGCAAGCCUGAUGCAGCCAUGCCGCGUGUGUGAAGAAGGCCUUCGGGUUGUAAAGCACUUUCAGCGGGGAGGAAGGCGAUAAGGUUAAUAACCUUGUCGAUUGACGUUACCCGCAGAAGAAGCACCGGCUAACUCCGUGCCAGCAGCCGCGGUAAUACGGAGGGUGCAAGCGUUAAUCGGAAUUACUGGGCGUAAAGCGCACGCAGGCGGUCUGUCAAGUCGGAUGUGAAAUCCCCGGGCUCAACUUGGGAACUGCAUUCGAAACUGGCAGGCUAGAGUCUUGUAGAGGGGGGUAGAAUUCCAGGUGUAGCGGUGAAAUGCGUAGAGAUCUGGAGGAAUACCGGUGGCGAAGGCGGCCCCCUGGACAAAGACUGACGCUCAGGUGCGAAAGCGUGGGGAGCAAACAGG
rnacentral:rRNA from 1 species